rnacentral:rRNA from 1 species
CCUACGGGUGACUGCAGUGAGGAAUAUUGGUCAAUGGGCGCAAGCCUGAACCAGCCAUGCCGCGUGCAGGAAGACGGCUCUAUGGGUUGUAAACUGCUUUUGUACGAGAGUAAACGCAGAUACGCGUACCUGUCUGUAUGUAUCGUACGAAUAAGGAUCGGCUAACUCCGUGCCAGCAGCCGCGGUAAUACGGAGGAUUCAAGCGUUAUCCGGAUUUAUUGGGUUUAAAGGGUGCGUAGGCGGUCGGAUAAGUUAGAUGUGAAAUCUGGCGGCUCAACUUCGGAAUUGCCUCUGAUACUGGUCGGCUAGAGAGUAGUUGCGGUAGGCGGAAUGUAUGGUGUAGCGGUGAAAUGCUGAGAGAUCAUGCAGAACACCGAUUGCGAAGGCAGCUUACCAAGCUACUACUGACGUUGAUGCACGAAAGCGUGGGGAGCAAACAGGAUUAGAUACCCGGGUAGUC